AGAACGAACGCUGGCGGCAUGCCUAACACAUGCAAGUCGAACGAGACCUUCGGGUCUAGUGGCGCACGGGUGCGUAACGCGUGGGAAUCUGCCCUUAGGUACGGAAUAACAGUGAGAAAUUACUGCUAAUACCGUAUGAUGUCUUCGGACCAAAGAUUUAUCGCCUAGGGAUGAGCCCGCGUUGGAUUAGCUAGUUGGUGGGGUAAAGGCCUACCAAGGCGACGAUCCAUAGCUGGUCUGAGAGGAUGAUCAGCCACACUGGGACUGAGACACGGCCCAGACUCCUACGGGAGGCAGCAGUGGGGAAUAUUGGACAAUGGGCGAAAGCCUGAUCCAGCAAUGCCGCGUGAGUGAAGAAGGCCUUAGGGUUGUAAAGCUACUUUUACCCGGGAAGAUAAUGACUGUACCGGAGAAUAAGCCCCGGCUAACUCCGCGCCAGCAGCCGC
rnacentral:rRNA from 1 species